AGAAACUUAGGAUCAAUACAAGACCGAGAGCCUUCAAAGCUCCCAGCGGGAGUUAAAAUCUCCCAGUUCCUG
rnacentral:tRNA from 1 species